AAGGGUAUAGCUCAAGUGGUAGAGCACAUGCUUCACAUAUACAAGGUCCUGGGUUCAAUCCCCAGUACCUCCU
rnacentral:tRNA from 1 species